UACGUAGGGACCAAGCGGUGUUCGGAUUUACUGGGCGUAAAGGGCGCGUAGGCGGCGCGGCAAGUCACUUGUGAAAUCUCUGAGCUUAACUCAGAACGGCCAAGUGAUACUGCAGUGCUAGAGUGUGGAAGGGGCAAUCGGAAUUCUUGGUGUAGCGGUGAAAUGCGUAGAUAUCAAGAGGAACACCUGAGGUGAAGACGGGUUGCUGGGCCAACACUGACGCUGAGGCGCGAAAGCCAGGGGAGCAAACGGG
rnacentral:rRNA from 1 species